UUUCCUGUGGCUCAGUCAGUAGAGCACUCUGCUAGCAACGCAAAGGUCAUGGGUUCAAACCACUGGGACAA